rnacentral:rRNA from 1 species
CCCCCCAUUCCCCCCCCUUUUUUUUCAAACAUCGCCUCCUGCAACUUUUUAUGUAUAGGAGGUCCAGCCUGCCCAGUGACUACGGGUUCAACGGCCGCGGUAUUUUGACCGUGCAAAGGUAGCGCAAUCACUUGUCUUUUAAAUAAAGACCUGUAUGAAUGGCUAGACGAGGGCUUAGCUGUCUCCCCCUUCCAGUCAGUGAAAUUGAUCUAUCCGUGCAGAAGCGGAUAUACCCCUACAAGACGAGAAGACCCUUUGGAGCUUAAGGUACAAAACUUAAUCACGUUAAACAACUUAACAAAGAGAUAAGAACUUAGUGAGACAUAAGAUUUUACCUUCGGUUGGGGCGACCACGGAGGAAAAACAAGCCUCCAAGAGGAAUGGGUUUAUACCCUAAAGCCUAGAGAAACCUCUCUACGCCGCAGAACAUCUGACCAGCAAUGAUCCGGCAUAAAGCCGAUCAACGGACCAAGUUACCCUAGGGAUAACAGCGCAAUCCUCUCCCAGAGUCCAUAUCGACGAGGGGGUUUACGACCUCGAUGUUGGAUCAGGACAUCCUAAUGGUGCAGCCGCUAUUAAGGGUUCGUUUGUUCAACGAUUAAAGUCCUACGUGAUCUAGUUUCCAAAAACGG